GUGACUCCCCAGAAUACACCUUGCUUCUGUAGACCAGCUCCAACAGGAUUCCAUGGUAGCUGGGAUGUUAGGGCUCAGAUUGGAACGUCUCUUGCCUCCCU
rnacentral:sRNA from 1 species